ACAGCCAAACAACAUUGAAAACACUGUUUCUCAUCCGAUCACUGAAGUUAAGCAAUGUCGGGCCUGGUCAGUACUUGGGAGGGUGACCACCUGGGACAACCGGAUGCUGUAGGCU